rnacentral:rRNA from 1 species
CGGCUUAAGUUUGAUCAUGGCUCAGAUUGAACGCUGGCGGCAGGCUUAACACAUGCAAGUCGAACGGUAAAGUAGCUUGCUACUUACGAGUGGCGGACGGGUGAGUAACGUAUGGGAAUUUACCGAAUGGAGGGGGACAACAGUUGGAAACGGCUGCUAAUACCGCAUAACGUCUAGAGACCAAAGGGUUUCGACUUGCCAUUUGAUGAGCCCAUAUGAGAUUAGCUAGUUGGUGUGGUAAUGGCUCACCAAGGCGACGAUCUCUAGCUGGUUUGAGAGGAUGACCAGCCACACUGGGACUGAGACACGGCCCAGACUCCUACGGGAGGCAG